rnacentral:rRNA from 1 species
GAUGAACGCUAGCGGCAGGCCUAAUACAUGCAAGACGAACGGUAAGUUGAGUAGCAAUACUUAGCCAAGAGUGUCGUACGGGUGCGUAACACGUAUGCAACCUACCCUAUACAGGAGGAUAGCCUAGGGAAACCUGGAUUAACCCUUCAUAGUAUUAUUGGAUGGCAUCAUUUGAUAAUUAAAACUGAGGUGGUAUAGGAUGGGCAUGCGUCAGAUUAGUUAGUUGGCGGGGUAAUGGCCCACCAAGACGAUGAUCAGUAGGGGUUCUGAGAGGAAGAUCCCCCACACUGGCCACUGAGA